AAACUUUCAACAACGGAUCUCUUGGGCGAAAUGCGAUACGUAAUAUGAAUUGCAGAUAUUCGUGAAUCAUCGAAUCUUUGAACGCUUCUCGCAUCGAUGAAGAACGCAACAUUGCGCCCUUUGGUAUUCCAAAGGGCAUGCCUGUUUGAGCGUCAUUU
rnacentral:rRNA from 1 species